rnacentral:rRNA from 1 species
UACAGAGGGUGCAAGCGUUGUCCGGAAUCACUGGGCGUAAAGGGCGCGUAGGUGGCCUGGUAAGUAGGGGGUGAAAUCUCGCGGCUCAACUGCGAGGCUGCCUCCUAAACUGUCAGGCUCGAGCAGAGUAGAGGCAGGUGGAAUUCCCGGUGUAGCGGUGGAAUGCGUAGAGAUCCGGAAGAACACCGGUGGCGAAGGCGGCCUGCUGGGCAGUUUUGCUGACACUGAGGCGCGACAGCGUGGGGAGCAAACAGG